GAUGAACGCUGGCGGCGUGCCUAAUACAUGCAAGUCGAGCGAACAGACUAGGAGCUUGCUCCUCUGACGUUAGCGGCGGACGGGUGAGUAACACGUGGAUAACCUACCUAUAAGACUGGGAUAACUUCGGGAAACCUGAGCUAAUACCGGAUAAUAUAUUGAACCGCAUGGUUCAAUAGUGAAAGACGGUUUUGCUGUCACUUAUAGAUGGAUCCGCGCCGCAUUAGCUAGUUGGUAAGGUAACGGCUUACCAAGGCAACGAUGCGUAGCCGACCUGAGAGGGUGAUAGGCCACACUGGAACUGAGACAAGGUCCAGACUCCUACGGGAGGCAGCAGUAGGGAAUCUUCCGCAAUGGGCGAAAGCCUGACGGAGCAACGCCGCGUGAGUGAUGAAGGUCUUCGGAUCGUAAAACUCUGUUAUUAGGGAAGAACAAAUGUGUAAGUAAAUAUGCACGUCUUGACGGUACCUAAUCAGAAAGCCACGGCUAACUACGUG
rnacentral:rRNA from 1 species